rnacentral:rRNA from 1 species
UACAGGGGGUGCAAGCGUUGUUCGGAAUUACUGGGCGUAAAGCGCGUGCAGGUGGCCCGCUAAGUCUGCGGUGAAAUCCCGGAGCUCAACUCCGGAUAUGCCGCGGAUACUGGCGGGCUAGAGACCAGUAGAGGCGAGUGGAAUUCCAGGUGUAGCGGUGGAAUGCGUAGAUAUCAGGAGGAACACCGAUGGCGAAGGCAGGUCUCUGGGCAUUAACUGACGCUGAGGAGCGAAAGCAUGGGGAGCGAACAGG